AGUGAACGCUGGCGGCAGGCCUAACACAUGCAAGUCGAACGGCAGCACAAGAGAGCUUGCUCUCUGGGUGGCGAGUGGCGGACGGGUGAGGAAUGCGUCGGAAUCUGCCCAUUUGUGGGGGAUAACCUCGGGAAACCGGGACUAAUACCGCAUACGACCUACGGGUGAAAGCAGGGGAUCUUGGACCUUGCGCAGAUGGAUGAGCCGAUGCCGGAUUAGCUAGUUGGAGGGGUAAAGGCCCACCAAGGCGACGAUCCGUAGCUGGUCUGAGAGGAUGAUCAGCCACACUGGGACUGAGACACGGCCCAGACUCCUACGGGAGGCAGCAGUGGGGAAUAUUGGACAAUGGGCGCAAGCCUGAUCCAGCCAUGCCGCGUGUGUGAAGAAGGCCUUCGGGUUGUAAAGCACUUUUGUUGGGAAAGAAAAGCAGCCGGUUAAUACCCGGUUGUCAUGACGGUACCCAAAGAAUAAGCACCGGCUAACUUCGUG
rnacentral:rRNA from 1 species